GUGGUUCCAUUAUUCUGCUUUGAAUUUAUUGGAGCUGUAGACUUAGCUAAACUGCAAGUUGUUUCUGUUUGUUUCAUUAAUGUUGGACACACGUUUGUGACACUCAACCUUGUUUAGCUGUCCUACAGACACUUUUGCUCAGCAGUUAAGAAGGCAUUUUUGUCUUUGACUACUCCAUCUUCCUUUAUGCACAUUAAAAUAGCUGCGUUCAAUCAGGAUGAAACCAGCAGAAGAAAACAAAUUAUACGUGUAUAUGUGAAUAUAGUUAAAAACAAUGACAAAUACAAGCUCCAGGUUAGUAUUGUUGUCACUAACAUGAUGGAGGUUGAUUUUUAUAAUUAGCCGACGGUCAUUGGCUGUUUGGUUAUACAAGGUGAAGUUUAAAUGUGGUGGGAAAGAUAAUUUCCUUCAAGCGGCCUAUUUCAGAUAGUUGAACAUCUAUCUGAUGCACACCUCUGUUUUAAUUGAACUCUUUUAGCAUAAAUGCUGGAUUAGCGAAUAGCACGAGCACGAAUAGCAUCCACAGGAGGGGCACUGAAAUUGUCAUUAUAUUGUUUGACCAAAUGAUGGAGAAAUACACAAGACAUAGAUGGUAGUGAAAAGAAGGGGUUUGAGGAAACUAGCUAUGAUGGUGCUAAAUGAUAAUUAAGUUCAUACCAAACAAAAAGAUGAUUAAUUAUGACUGUGGUUUCAAACUUCUAGUUAAUAUGCUUAAGCCUAUUAGAAAAUGGAGACAACAAAUGGUUGAUGAUUGCAUGACUUGUUUGGCAUUUGUAGAUUGGGGGAUUCUGUUGAGGUGAAAAAUUGCUUUCUGUUUUUGUAAAUAUUUAUUUGAGCCUAUGGGCUUCAUUUUUUACAAUUUAAAAAGUUCAUGCAUUCAUCAUUACAUUCUUUAGUUCUCCACUUAUUUGUUCCACAAUGUUAUGCUAGAUAACAUGGUAUAUAUCAAAACUUUCUUUGGCAUAUUGAAAAGGGCUGUCGGAAUAGUUGAAUGGUUUAGAUUUGGGUUAUGGGUUUGUUAAUGUUCUGCUAGAGUUUAAAAAUGAAAGGGGAUGAAAUUAAACUUGAAUUCAACAGGUCCAACUCAAACUUAGAUUCAGACCCCAUAUUUACAGGCUGAAUCUAGUUCUGGAUCCACAUGAUUCUGGUGCAUGUACAGUAUAGUAUAGAAAAUGACUGAAUGAAGUUUAUUUUUAUCCAGUAUUUUAGGAACCUAAUUCCCAAAUGCUAUGACAUCUUGCCACCCAAAUUUGAGUUUUAAUCUUGAGAAAAUGUAUUCAAUGCAAUGGACACCAAUGUGCAAUCCUCUCCUCUCUUGAUGCAAUAACAAUGAAGAAAUAAAGCCAAAAGUAAUCUAGAUAAGCCACAUGUACAUCUAAUUCUUUGUAAUGAUUGAUUUCAAUUGGUUACUUCAGAGUUGGAUGAAAUUAGUUGGUUUUAGCUGAAUAACUGAGGCCGAUCAACAGAUCGACAUCGGAUAGAUCUCAAUUUGGUUUUAGCUGGAACACAAAACCAUGGACAGAAGGCUGCUUUAGCUCUUGCAUGGGUAAAUCAUCCUGAAUCCACAUGCAUUCCACUUUCCCAAUAAUUCCAACAUUUAUAUAGAGGAAUUAUUAUGGUGCUCAUGUUGAUUUCUAAGAUCUGUGUAAAUAGGGAACUUCUUUCACCAAAAAUUGACUAUUAUGAUUGUUUUCUUGAAAUCUACAAUGUUUAGUUAAUUUAACAUCAAUCGUCCCAUUAUAUUUCUGAAAGUUCAUAUCUUUUAAGUUAUAAGUCAGAUUGAGUGAUUGAUUUUAGUUUGAAUGUCUUAAAAACUCGGAUUUGGAAUGCUAUGGCUCUGAAUAACAGAAUAUGAUGGUCAUCCCACAGUUGGUACUUCUCUUGAUUAAUGUUUUCCUCUCAGCAGGUAUUAUUUGACAAUUCAUUGAAGCACCUACUCAACUGUGCUGAUAAACUCUUUUGUGAAUCUGUUAAUGAAAAUUAUAGUGAUCAGCCCUCCAAGUCCAAUCAUAAAGAGAAAGUUGCAGUGCGCCGCAAAUCCAAGCGGAAAGCAGCUCUAGAUGGCACAUCAAUCCCAACCAAAGGUAGCUAGAGACAUAAUAUAUUCAUUCAGUUGAAACUCAAAAGAAGAGAAUAUAUGACUAUUUAACAAAUAAAUGAAUGAUAAUCUGCAUUUUUCCAAGUGAAUAAGAGAGAGAGUUAUCACCAAGUCUGACAUGAGAAAGCCAUUUUUCUUAAUGAUAAAUUGUCCGAAAGUUCCAGUUAUACCAUUUUCAGAGUUAAUUAAUUGUUUUUUUUUAAAAAAUUGAUGAACAAGCAGGAAAAACCCACCUAACAAUCAACGGAGAACUAUUGAACUGAUUUGACAUCUUUUUCCACCAGUUUUUCCAUUUUCACUAUUGCAGGUUCUGUAAUCUCUUUUUUUCCCCUUGUACCUCCUGUAGGUGCUGAACUCAAAACUGAUAUUCCCGAAGCUAGAAGGCUACAAAAUAUGAUGAAAUUGGUCACAUCAAUUCUUCAGUUUAUUGUUGAUGCUGCAACCAUGAGCCUUGUUAACCAAAACCAAGCAAGGUGUUUAAUGUUUGCAUCAUCUUAUGCUAGACAUGUUGUCUCAGCCAUUGGAAGGCAUCGACAGCAAAAGGCACCAUUAAAGGAUGAUGAUCUAAAAGAGAUACUUACAUAUCUAAAAAGCUCCUUCACUUAUGCAGCCAAGUUACUCCAUUUGGUGCUCAGAGACUCUAGCGAAACUUCAGCACCACCACCAGAAGCAUUCUACCUUGCCAAUGAUCUUCUUGACCUUAUCACAUCCAUCGAAUCAUAUCCAGGCUUAAGUUAUGCAAUCCAUAUUGCUUCUGUUGCCAAGCCAUGGCUGCCUGUUCUUAUACUAGGUUUAGGCUGCAACAAACUGAUUAAGGUAACAGAGAAAGGUGGCGCUUCAAACUUAGGUGAUAUUAUUGGGCUUAAUUUUCCAGUAUGGCUUUCUGUUCUGGGAAAGACUGAGUUAUAUGCAGUUAACGAAACUGGACAAGAUGUGGAGGGCAAUCAUCUUCCUACAUUGGAGGCUUCAGUAUUUAGAAAGCUUAUAGAGAGGUUGGUGAUCCUGCUAAAGAAGGGAAGCCCAGAAAUAUUGGAUGCUGUAGGCUGUGUCUUCUUGGCAGGUCUGGAGGUUGGGCUGGAAAAGGCAGACUUUGACUUGGUCUUAGGCCUGCUCCAUUUUACAUGUGUGAAGUUGUUGGAUAAAGAAAAUGCUUGCUUGGAAGAACUUAAACUUAUGUCCAGCUCUUUACAAGAGAUCUAUCUAAAGAUAGAGAGAGACCUUCAGGGCCAUCACAGCAUUGAUGAUGGAAGGCACCAGUUAGAAAGUGCCAGAACACUAAUCAGAUCUGUUUUGACUCAUUCUAGAUGAAGAGCUGCUGCCAUCAUGAUGACAACAUAAAACUACUGGAGUAGAAGUGUCAAAUAUUAAGCUUUUGGGCUGAAAACUUGGUGGUCCUGCCUCAAGAGUAGAGGGAAAGAGCAAAACUUGAGGUCUUGUGAGAGUAACAACAUUUGCAAAGGUAAUGAAGCACUUUAGUAGUUGUACAGCUGAUCCAUAUAUACUUUAAUCAAGUUGACUGUCAUAUGUUACACAUGAUAUAUCAGGAAUGGCAGUUUCUGAUUCCAAAACCAUACAGGUUCAUUCCAUACUAUCUGCAGCUUUCACAUUAGGAUGCUUAAAAGGGAGAACUCGUUAUUUUCUUGUGUGGCUAGUGUCUGAUUGCAGCUCUGCAGCUUUAAUCUAAAUCAACUGUUUUUUUGGUACGAAUGUAAAUCAACAUUCACAUAUGCAUGUUUUAGCAACCUCUCCCUGUGUUGGUUAUUUGUAGAUAAGAUGAUUUAGCAGGGGCAAGCCGUUUGACUAUAUCUUCUAUUGUCAAUGUGGAUAGAUUUAUUUUAGUCACUGCAAUAAGUCUUGAUCAAUAUUUUCUCUCUUUUGGUGUGGGGUUUAGAAUUCUGAAUCAACAUUCAAAUUUUUCAGAUUUUACAUUACUUCUGAUGUUGGUCAUUUGUAGAUAAGGUGAUUUAGCAGGCUGGUAAAAAGAGGUGUGCUGGAUUGUAUCUUCUUUUAUCCAUCUGGAAAGAUUUAUUUUAGUCACUGCAGUAAGUCUUGACAGAGCAUUCUGUGUUAUGAUAUCAGAAUUAAAUUCCUACAUGUUUGUUUGUUAAAAUAUAAGUUCAGCAAACUGCUGACUACAGUUCAUGAUUGAAUCACGAGAUAAUUCACAUGGUAGAGCUAAGAAAAUGAACUUUCAUCUCUCCUCACAGAACCCCUGGAAGAAUUUCGUUUUUCUUCGUACUUUUUCAUUUUUAUUUGGGGUGCACUGUUUCUAGAGGGCUUUAAAUGAAACUUUUACGCUCUCGCGGCACCCUAGAGAAUCUCUGCAAGUUUGUGGGGUCUGGAAGGGCCAUAUCGAGGCUUUCUUAAUAGCUCAAAUAAAAUGAAAAAUAUGGCCGACUUUUUCUAUAGUGAAAAUAUCCACGAUAACACUCUUUAAUUCAAGCACCUUCUUCUAACUCGUAACAGCCGAACUAAUGAAAUGUUAAAAAAGAGGAUGACAUGCCUGAAUUGGGAGCAUAUAUACACUUGAAAUGAUUCAUUGAACCACUCGUUGGAAUGUAUCAUUGUUGGUAUCUGGCCCUGAGUUUUUACUCUCUUGGAAUCUUCCUUCAUGUCCCAAAUACAAGUCUAACAGGUUCUGGCAAUGCAAUUAACAGAGGUUUCAUGUCCAGUAUAACAUUAGUUGGCUUUAUCUCACAAAGGCAUCCCAGUUUUGCUCAUAAGCCAACAUAAUCCCAUCUUACAGCCAAUAAUGACUGUUAAAACAGCUACUACCUUAUUCCUAGUAAAUCCAACCUCAUGAUAUCUGGACAAUAAUUUACCUCUCCAGCGAUCUCAAAGUACCCGGCCGAUGACAUUGCUGCCAUCCUACUUGCGUUUUUAAUGUGAGCAUCCAUAAGAAUGUAGUAAGCGGCAUUUGGAACCGACUGAAACCAAAUGGGAGCUCAGCUAGAGGUUGGAGUUUAGAUUCACCAGUUUCUCAAAUUAGCAUAGCCAGACGUAGAUAAUAAUUUGUCAUCGCCGUGAACAAAGCUCAACUGGGCUAUAAUUUUAGAAACACAAUAUCAACUGUCGAGCGUUAGUUAAAUUGAUCCAUGCUUGACAUGAGAAAUGGGUUUAGGCCUUGUGAAUUAUAUUUUGGAUUUGGCUUCAUCACAACUCCACAUGUUCCAUAACAGUAUCUGUGUCUUAAAUUUUAUAAUAUUUAGCAAAUAAUUUUUUCAUAAUCACAGGAUUAUGACAGAAUCAAGAUGCUCUAAUAAUUUCAACGUUCUACCAUGAUACUACGAUGAAAAUAUAAAUGCAUAAUAAGUUAAACUAUAUGCAACCACAACAGGUAUACUAUAAUUUUUAUUCCAAAAUUUCAGUAUAAAAACAAAAGAACAAAAUCUUUAAAUCCUCGUUAUAUCUAGUACCGUCAUAUGACCUGACAUAAUAAACAGAACCCAAUAUAAUACAGUCAAUACCAGUGAUUAAGGUGCAAGAGGAAAACCUGAAAUAAUUCUGUCAAUAUUUAUAACAUAAUACCAAGUGAGUAUAGUGGAAGAGGAAGACCACAAAACUACUUUUAACAGAAUUUUCAAUUUGGAAAUACCAGGGCUAUCUCCAUACAUAAAUCUUAGAUUGACUUCCUGAUAUGCGCACAUAUUUCCCUACCAUGAAUCAGAAAUGUUUGUUACAGAAAUUUUAGGAGCCAGUAUCUACAUAAAAAUUUUAUUAAAUGGGGCAUAAAAAGGAGCAAUACCUAUUCACAUCUCUAAACGAAUGCUAAUGCUACAAAUUUUUCUUGCCCUUGAUAAAGAAGGCAUCAAUGGGGAUAUGCGUUCCCUUGUUUGGGGAAGACUUCAGCUUCUUCCGAGCAUUUUCUUUAGCUUGCAGUGCCUUUCGCACUGACCUGAUGAAGGACAACACAAUAAUCAGAAUAAGCCUAAUCUCAUACUGAGUUAGGAAGAUACUGUGAACUCAUGCCAUAACAUGCCUAAAUUCUCAGACAGAAAGUUCGAUAAACUGUAAUGAGAUCAACAUUUUCAUUUCCUAUAACCUUGAACCUGCUACUUGUUCUGUAAUGAAUAAUACCUUAACUAUAUGAAUUUCUAACAAGUAAUGCCAAACACUUAGCUCUAAGAAAAUCUAAAAUAGGGGGAAAUUAUAGCAACCUAAAAGCUAAGACAUUAAGCAAUGCAACAAAUAAUAAUCUAAACAGGAGAAUGGUGGCUAAAACAAUAAAAAUUUUAAAUAAGCAGGCAUGCAAAAUAAUCAAUCAUAAACUACAGAAGUUACAUUUCUCCUGAAUUUUGAGGAGCUAGUUAAAACACAAGGCUAGUUCAUGGUACCUCUCCUGUGUAAGGUGUCCUGUGCCAUACACAGAUUCCUCCUCCUGAAGCAUCUCAGCUAGAUGAUAAUCUGAAUGUUCUUGCCUCUCCUCGAUGAAACUUGGAGGCAUUUCAAUCCCACAAACAGAGCAAAUAUAGCCAUCUACCCAUGAAAGUUCUACCUUUUGACUGGAUGCAGCUACUGUUUUAUGGCCAGAGAAGUUGCUAAUCAUCUCAUUUUUUGUCUCUACACUAUCACACUGCAGAGGAAGAAAAUUUCAGACAAUUCGAAACCCACAAAUAACAUUACAAUGUAAGACACAGAUUAUAACUUGCCAAGACAAAGGAUUGAAAGACUGGCACUCAUGAUAUGCAAUGAUUAACAAGCUCAUGAAUGAGCAGGUACACUGACUGCCUGACUAGUAACACGUUCACAAGUCAGCUAUUUUACAAAUAAAAACUAAACAUAAGUGAGGAACGAAAAAUUGAUACUUUGCUGAACAUAUGCACAUCUACUACUCUGUCUCCGGUUCUAAAGAAUUAGGUAGCAACAAGACACUUAGUUUAAAGACUUUUUUCCGAAAAAAAAGCAAGGCAUGCCACUUUGAGCAAUCAUAGAUCUCACAAAUCACAAUGUUUAAGUCAAAUUCAGUGGCAUAAACUGGCUCUAAAUCAGGAGUUGAAAUAAAUAUUAGGUCUGUUUACAUGUUCAUAUAAAUUUUUGUAUAGAAUUUUGUGCACUUCAUUUCUACUCUUUAUCCUGGGCAAGAUUAAAGGACUUCUGACCCUAAUCACCAUCAAGAACUAUCAUGUUGAUUGAUCAUAGACAAAGGUCAAAAAUUGAAGAAUAAUAUUUAGGAGUGAUGGUUGGUGAAAAAAAAAAGAAGAAAAAACGUUCAUUCUGAUGGAAUAAGUGAUGAACAGGUGUAAUUCCAACUUUCAACAAUGCACUACAAGCUUUUAUGGUAGAAUAGAGUUGAUAUAACGAAGCAAUGAUGAAACCCUGCUUUCACAAUGUACAAAAGAUCCAUCAUGAACGGUCACAUAAUGACAGCCAGGGGAUUUCAGAGUAAAUUAGGUUCAAUUUCAGAGUAAAUUAGGUUCAAGCAUAUCCUGAUCUACAUCCAUGUAUUGUAAACAAUUCAAGUAAAAGAGCACUAAGGAAAAACAUUCCCUUCAAAGAUAAAACUAAAAGGAUCAAAUCUGCAUUGAAAGAGGAAAAGAUUUCAUUUUAUUUCUUAGCAAUAAAUUUAUGUGGUUAACAGUAUUGAAAUCUGUUUAUAAAAGCAAGGCAAUUUAGUAAGUGAAGAUCUCAAUCAAAGUUAAGCCCUUCAGAUAGUGUUCAUAGAUCAGGCCUCAAUAUCAGACGAAGAACUAGGAAACGCGUCACUGAUAGCUGAUGGCUGACAGUGAGACCUCGCUAAUAUGAUAUCAGUGAAUCACCUUUUACGAGAGUUUCUGUCCAAUCCUAAAAACCAAAGAACAAGUUUCUGGGGAUUGAUGUGAAUCAAUAACUCAGGUUUAUCAGGUGAUAACUAUCUAAUUAAUACCAAACAGUCAGCAUCAAUAUAGGCACAAAAUGGCUAAUUCUCUUGUUCGUUUUGCUUUAUUUUAUUUGGUUCAAUGGUCUCCAGAGUACUAAUAUAUCAAUAUGUUGGCAUAUGGUUCAAUAAUCCUUCAGAGUAUCAAUCUUAAUUACUUGGUCAUCAUCAAUAAGACAUUAUUAAAAACACAAGUUUCAAAAAGGAACACAAGAACAAAAACAAAGUUCAGAAUCAGAUACAAACCUUCUCUGAGCACCCAUUACCCAUAUUUUCUAUUCCAUCUGCAUUACUGGUGGAGGCAAACUUGAGUCCACAAGACAGCUGGUUGGAUGCAAGUACAUCAUUUGUUUCAUAUGAAAGAGAGAUUUUAUUAUCAUUUGAGGCAGAGCUCUCAUGAUGAACUGAAAGAUCAGUUUGUGCAUCACAUAUUUGAUGCUCAUCACUGAACUCAGAAAUACUUGAUUUGUUGACACAUGUAGCACUUGCUGUAACAUUUCCUGAGAUGACAAAACUUGCAAGGGUCUGCUGCAUGGGAUCAAGAGGACUGCAUUUGUCAUCACGAAACUGUGACAUGCGCAGGCCUGUAAAGUUAAGUUUCAAUAUCAGUCAAGGAUAAAUAGAUAGACCACCUAAAAGAAGCCUUAGAAACCAAUUAAUCAUUUUUAGUUAAAUCUGAUGCCAGGGAAUACAGAAAACACUUCAACUUAGAAUUUACCAAAUAACAGAUGAAUGCAAGAAGCCAUGUGCAAAUUCCAAAAUCAGCUUACUGGGUUUUUCUUGGUGGAAUGGAUAUAUUAUACAGUCCUCGGAUAAAUACAUCAAUGAGAGUCAGAAGACAAAAGAUCCCAUAUAAUCUCAACCAUCCAUUUGUAUUUACCUCACUUUUAUUAAGCAAACUGGAUUAUGGGAUCACAUUUUUUGCUGACUUAAGCAAACACUCACAAGAAAGCUGCCUGCUCUGUAGAUCUCUUGCUAUCAUAUCUUUCCAGUCCAGCAUUUCCAUUAUUUUGAAUCAAUCACUACUGCUAAUGCAUCACACUCCUCUCUUAUAAACAGAAGCAGGGUGAUGUGAUACAAGUUAAACAGUUGAGAUAUAUUUGAAAUAAUGUGAAUGUCAAUUUUGAAAGCAUAUGACAAUAAACCUAUAAUGAUUUGGUUAUUCUGGAAUGAAUUGAUCUUCGCUAUCUUCUUGAUGUCCGGGAGUUCUUUUGAAGGUGAUAAUGGACUGACAAAUCCUAGGUCCAAUAUUAUUUGGAUCGAAGCACAGUUCCCCCAAACAAUAUUUGGAUUGGCUGCACUGCCUUUCAAUAUAUGCUCCUUUAGACUAGCAUUGCAUAAAUAUAGAUACAACGGACAACUGACAUUGAGAUGCUUGAGCAGACGAGUGAGAAACCAUAAUAGAAGAUCAGGUGAACUUCAAACAUCAACAUAUACAGAUGUAUUCUUCUUGCCUAGCUUAUCAGAUGAGGCAUAAUUCUUUAUACUAAGCAAUAGAUUAUGUUCUUGAACUGAGGUCCAAAUUUACUCGAGAAAUAUUUGUGCAGGCAGCCAUGGAGGAUCCACAAGUGGUAUGAGCUGGAAGUUAACAAUGGAGCUGGAACUUGAGUCCACAAAAUGCCAUUUUUUGGCAAUGUUACAUUCAUAAAAGUUAAAGGAUUAGCCAUAAGCUUGGAAGAUAGAACAUGAAUGCACGGAUAUAGAUAGACUGCUUGAACAUCAGAAUGUACACAUAUCCUUGGCUUUUCCCAUAAAUCUUCAACAGUGCCCUGACCCAAUAAUAAUAGUAUUUAAAUACCAACAUCAUUAUUGUCAAAAUAAUCUUUUUAUGUAUAAACAAGAUAAGUACUAGCUAGUUUAAUUUUCUUGCUCUAAUUUCAAAUUUAUAGACGGGCUAAUAUGGCACACUAAUUUAUAACAAUUUAGCCACCCAAAAGUUCAAGUUAAAACUCAUGAAACACUUGAAUUUAAAUCAUCCAUUGCAAUUCUAGGAAUUCCAUGUCCUAUUUCCAAAUUUUAUCGAUGCAUUUCUUCUCACCUUGUGAAAAGGAGUCUCAACUUGCCAAUUCACAAGUUAGAACAUUGAACCAUAACAAACAUCAAAAUAAUAUAUGUCUUAAUUGGAAGUAACAAACAUGCACUGAAGAUCAUUAAAGGAAAUUUACAAGCAUUCUACAUACCCAUCAACCUCAAAGAAAGAGGAAGUUCUGCCUUUAACACCUUGGAAGCAUAAGUUUGGAUUUCCUCCUUUGAUUGAAUAAAUUUCUGCAGUGAUACUGCUCUAGUUCUAACCUGCAGUUUGUUACUGUCAGUACAUAUGGAAAUGAUAGGUAGAGGAUAAGACACAAUUACAGUAGAAAAGAAUUCUUCACAAAAUAUGCAGGCUCAACAAGCACAAAUUCUAUGCAGGAAUCUGGAAAAGAUGCCACAGUCACUUUUGCUGUUCAGUCCUAAAAUGUUUUUUGUUUUUUUGGUAGGAAACUUCAAAGUUUUGCAGGUGUUCAGUGAUAAAUAGUUACACAGAAAGAUAUCAGCUGGGAAAAAUAAAAAAUAAAAGAAACCUCAAAAGAUGCUGUCUUCAAUUUUAGUGUCAAAGUUCGUCCCCAAAGACAUUCCUUCUGCAUGUCAUUUGAUAAUGUUUCUGCAAUAUCCGCUGCAACAAAGAAAGUAAAAAAAAUUAGCACCUAUCUACCAUUUAUUGACAAUCACUUCAUAGAAUAAAUAAAUACAAUGGAAUACUUCUAAAUUUUGCACUGCACUGUGAACUCAAAAAUUCAAAUAAGUUUUCUUAGAAGACGAAUCACAAAAUAUAAGGAAUAAAGUGUUUACUAGCAUGUCAGAGGGGCAGAAAAUAUUUUGUGAAAAAAGAGGUAAAUCUGUCAUAGUUCGGUAGUCCUGGGAUGAUGCCAAAAUAACCGCACAGUAUGAAAUGUGAAGACAUUUCAAGCAAUGUCGUUGACAGUUGAUGCGGGGAGAAUGUUAAUAGCCCAAAAGAAAGAACAUGUGGAAUGAUCCAAAACUUUUGGGGAAAAGGUUAAAUUUAAAGGCCUACUGCCAAAAGAGCUUAUGUCACACCUUGAAUCGUGUCAUUUGACAAUUAUUGUUUUCAAUAUCAGGCACCAUCAAUGUCCCUAAUAUAACCAUGUCUGGAACAAAAGGCAACACAGAAAUACAUAAAUAAGCUAAGGUAGAAGUCCUAUUUCGCUAAACAUACAAUAAUAUGAGGAUCAUUAUUGUUACAAAUGAUAACUUCUAGAUGCUAUCUUUAAUAAAUGGUUGGCAUCUAAUAGUUCCACAUUUACUUAUAAUAGGAGUAUGGAGGUAUGUACAUAUACAAGAUUAGAUGGAGUCCACCUUGUAGGAUAUUUUAGGGCUCCAAUUAACUUCUUUAUAUUGAGGUGUUAUCUUUAGGGCGAUGACCAAACACCAAAGUCAAAAUACUUUUAUGCCUUGUCAUCUUAGCUUAUUUCCCUCCCCCUCUCCUGCCAAGCAGACACCCAAUGCAACAUUUUUCUCUCAUCAUAUUUUUUCCCCGUCGUUUGAAAUUCCGUUUCUCCUUUGUUUCUUUUCUUAUUUCUACCUUUUUCUUUUUCUUUCUUCCAAAUGUCAAUAUAGUAAUAGUUUUUGACAAACUAUUUAUAUUAGAAAUAGUGGUCUGAAUCUUUACAUCCAAUCAUACCACAUAAUACAUAACAACCAAUCAAUAAGCAACAGAAUAAUUAUUUAGAAAGAAGAAAAUAAAGUUGGACAUCUUUACCCAAUUUCUGUAAAAGCAUUGGUUCAUCUCCAGUGGCAGAAAAUGUUCUCUCACUGCUAAUACUCUUACGCAACUUUUGUUCAGGAGUAUCUGUUCUUCCUAAGCCAAGUCCAACUGAAAGAAAAAAGUCUACAGCAGAAGAGUACAAUUAGACUACAUUUAGCCACCAUCAGUAUACAAGAGGUGCAUAAGAUAUUUAUGUAACAUCAAUAAGAUUCAGAAAGAGGGGCAAACAAUUUCUCUUUUGCCAUAAAUAAUCAUAUAGAAAAUCUUCCAAGAGGUGUAAGAUAUCUUAUAGAGAAUCAAAAUAAUCAGAAAGGAAAAGCUGCAAAUUCUUGGAAAGCUCCUGCAAUAUAAAUCGUUUUACAUCCCAUGUUAUGUUUGAUGGGGCUUACAUACUUGUUCAGAAGUUGUUGGUUCCACUGACUUACAACCACAUACAACUACAACUCUGCAACUUAGUUUCCAGUAUUACUAAACGGUGAUAGCAUAACCAACUGGCUAAUAAGUUUCCAAGAUAGAACCACAUGUUCAAACUCACUCUUUUAUAUCUCAUUAUAUAUAGACAGAGAUGUUUCCUCUCCCUGCCACUUAUUCUGAAUUUUUGCUAAGGUUCAGCAAAAUUUAGAAGAGUUCCAUACUUGCACCAUGUAUCUAAAUAUUUUCAUAGAUGAUGUAAUACUCUCAUAUUCCUUUAAAGAGUUAAAAUUAUCAGGAUAGUAGUCCUUUGUACAUAAGUAAGAUAAAGUUUUUAAUAAUUAUUUCAUCUUCUAUUGUACUAAUUUUUCCAGACUUAUUUCCUAUUCUUGAUUUUUUUGAGAAAUAAAUACUCAAUAUCUACAAAAAGAUAAAAUAAUAAAUUAAUGGUACCUAGUAUACUGACCAGUUGAACAAUGAGAAAACAGCGCACACAGGAAUGCACCCUUUUGCAGCAACUCCUCACAAGUAUUGAUUCCAAGUACAUCCUUUAAAAUGGUUUCAGUCACCUUACCAAUUCCCCCUAUCUGUAUGCAGAGAUCUUUAAGCAACAUAUCAGAUCUAAUGACACAUAAGACCUUUUGAAUAUAAGUAGAUAUAAAAAUCAAACAACCAAAAGACAAUUCUGCAGUGUAAAGGUAACCUUAAACUUUCCAUAAAUACACAAGAUCACAGAAUUAAUGAUAUUUGAAAAAAUAGCCAAAAUUCUGCCAAAAUCAAAGGAUCUUUACUAGAUUGGACAAAAGACUAACAACCAACACUCAAAGAAACAAUGCAUAUAAAGAUGAAAGGUGACCAAUGCAGUAUACUAAAUUUUGGAAAAAUCUACUUAAGGCUACGUGCAUCUGACCCCCUAUAGAUCCUGCAAUGGUGGGAGCCUCAUGCACCAAGCCACCUUUUUUUAAAAAGGGGCAGAAAAAGAUAAGUUUUAUUGCUAUAUAAUAUUACCAAAAAGUAUAUGGAAAUUUAUGUGAAACUAAAGUAACUCUAUGGACUAAUUCAAUAGAUUUUGCAAAUAAGAAAACAGAUGAUUAGAGAAGUGUACUCAUUUGAAGAAUAGAGGCAGUGCAAAAGAAUUUCACUAUCAUGACAAUAAGCUGAGCCACACUCAAAAUUACAGGAAAGGUGUUGAAAAACAAAGGUCAAGUAACACAGUAAAAAUUGAAGAGAACCAAUUUACGCCACAAGGUUGAUAGUGAUGACAAUUUUCUUUAUGUAACUUACUGAACCAUGAGAUCAACAAUUUCAAUAAUUUUCUUAUGUAACCAGUACAAAGCAUGAAAACUAUCACCACUUCUGCAUUAUGUCAAAAAAUAAUCCAGAUAAAAAAAAGUAAAUUCAUUUGCCCGUUUGCAUUUGUCGUUAUCAACAGUAUGAUAGUGUAUCAAAGCAACAGAGAAUACUUUAUGAUAAGAAUUGAUUCAGUAUGUGUUUUAAAAUGCAGUGAAUGGAGCCAGAUUUGCGCCAGCAUGCACAUGCAAUUCCUUGACCGCACCACAUUGCCUAUUUGCAGUAAUUUUGGGUGAUCAUACCAUUUAUGGACCGAAAAUAGCAUUAUGCAGCUCCAUCUGGUAGCCCUCUUAACAUUCUGGAGCUACAUAUGCAGCACACUCUUAUGCGAUCCCAUGCAACUAAGGUGGUUCAAAUGUGAUUUUAGGUGGGCCCAAUAUGGGUAAUAAUAAUGUUAAAUAUAUAAUGUUAUAGUUAUUGCUAUUAGGUAUUAGGUACUAAAUAAUAAGCACUAAUUGUCAAUUGUUAUUUUUUUAAUAUUGCUAUUAUGCAUCCAAAAUAUUUUUAUCGUUAUCUUAUUAUUGUAUUUAAUGUAUUACAUUUAUUUCUAAAUAUUUAACUAAUAGAAACUACAUUAUGCACUCGCAAAUGCAGCUCACAUAUUGUAUAUGCAUUAUGUGGUUCCUUUUUUUUGAUACAUCGGCGGACCACACCAGACGAGUAUGGAUACAACUAACAAAAUCAGAAAACAAAAUACUACGCAAAGGUAUAGGCACAGCCUCGUGGUCUAUUCAGAAGAAACCUCCAGAGUGAUGAGCCGCGAAGGAAGCAACCCAGUCUGCAGCACUGUUCACCUUCCGAUAUACGUGCAUAGCCUAGUAAGAGUCAGCCUCCCCCAGUGCCCUGCAAAUAUCGUGGAGCAACAGCCGAUCCUCGACUGAGCACCCCCGUUCCGGAUCCACUCAAUCACCGUGGUCGAAUCCCCCACGAGGAAGAGGCGACCGGUGCCCAGUAUCUGCCUUGCAUAGGAGACACCCUUCCAGACUGCUCUAAGCUCAGCGGUCAUUAUUGACGAGUCAUUAUGUGGUUCCUUGACCGCCCACAUACUGCAGCAUGCUUCUAAAACAAUGAUUUGGUGUCUAGUCAAGGUUUCAUGUCUUUAAUGCCUGCAUUUUCCUUAAGGAUCAUUUUGUAUGCUAAAAAGAUCAGAGUUGCGAAGGAGUCCAGAAAUUAAAGAGAUAAGCACAUAUUUUAGAGUAUCUUUUGGACUUUUCUGAUUUUUUGAUGACAUCAAUAGAUCUUAGCUUACUAGCCUAACCCAUCAAAUCAAUUCCACCAUAGUGAAUCUUGUUGAGCUAUUUGUUCGGUUAUAUUUCUUCCUAUCCAAUAUUAUCUCCUCCAUCAGAUAAACUACUUCAAGUGGCCUUAGAGACCAAAAAUACAUAUACAUACAAAGGAAAUCAUGUGUCUGUAUUGUGAAAGCCUGCAGGGAAAACACACAUUUUCCAAUGUCAAAUCCGUGAAGUUCAAUAAAGAAGGCUGAAAUACCUUUCUUAUAGGUAGUGAAGAUAUAAAGGUCGUCACAGCCUUCCGGUCAUUUGGUAAGAUGUAUUGCCCAUUAGGUUUGUUAAUAUCUGAACAAACCUAGCAAAAGACACGGAAAGAUAAAUUUAACACUAUUGAGAUAAGUUAUGCACAGAAAGACAAAUUUAAGACUAUUGAGAUAGGUUACAUCUGUUAAACAUGACAGUUCAAGACAACACAAUCAUCAUACCAACAAUUAGAAAAAAAAGAAAAAAAAAACUAUAGAAGCAACACUCAUUGGCCUUUUACCUUGUUUAAGUUUGAUGCAUGUCAUUACAAGGAGAAGACAAUUCUCAGUUUAUGAACACAUAAAUUAAAAAAACAUAAAUAAUCGUUACUGUAGCAACUCAAAGCAUCAGUCCAAUUCUUACAGAAAUACAAGCUGGUAGGCUAGCAGACUAAACACAAAGACCACGUGGUGAAAUUGGAUAUGCAGUUAACCAUUAUCAUUGUAUCAAUAUGUUUGCUUGAAGCUAAUUUAAGUUAACCAGUAUCAUUGUAUCUAUCUGAUGGUUUAAAGCUAAUUUGGUCCCAAUCACUGUCUAUCAGCAUAUCAACAUAAAUAGCUAGAAAGGUUUUCACUUAGUAGGGUAGCCUAUUUUCACAUGAACAGAAUUUUAAAUGAGUAGGGCCAAAAUUUACGGGAUAAAUAUGGAAUGCUAAUGACCACAGGACUGGCUUACGAACGACAUAAUGAAUUAAGGCACAUGCAGUACAGGAAGAAACAAAUAGCCAUAUGUUAACUCUAAAGAUAUAUCACAAUCAGCACCUAAUUUUUUACAUACUGUUAGCAAGAUAAUAAAGUAUGAAUAAGAUACAUUAACAAACCUUGGCAAGCAAGCGGUUAGGCGCCACUCCAACACUACAUGUGAGACCAGUCUCCUCAUAAAUAUUAUUCCUGAGUUCAGCAGCAACCUUCGAAAAAAGAAGCAAGCACAAUGUCAGGAGACUGUCACGCCCAGCACGAUGAUUUAUGAAAAAACUGACAUUAAAGAACCACUAGUCUUAAAUUCACAGGUUAGGAGGCUAGGCUAUUAGCUGAUCGUGCUGAACUUACUUCUUCACUGUUAAGACCUCUUUCAUUGCAAGAUUCAGUUAUAUUUAGGUAUGCUUCAUCCAAACUAGCUGCGAUGAAGUCAGGGUCAUAUCUUCUGAAAACUGAACAAAUAAAAUGAAAACUGAUUAACAUGUUAGCCUGGCAAUUGAGCUAACAGGAAUUAUUUAAAAGUAAUAGAGCGAACCUUUUCUUGUUAGUUCACUGUAAUAAGUAUAUUUCUCGAAAUUGGUAGGAACAAAAACCAAGUCUGGACAUAAUUUAUGUGCAAUGAAACCAGGCAUCGCAGCACGAACCCCAAAUUUCCGUGCCUAGAUCAGAAUAAGUCAUAAAUCCAGAAUCAGCAAAAACACUUGAAAUUACAUAUGAUAUGGCAAGUCCUAGAAUGUUAUUCUUCAACAUAGAAGAUAAUGUUGCAAUGAGAAAUGUAUACAAAUAGCACACCUCAUAAUUUGCAGUGCAUAUCAUAGACAUGCUACCUACUGCCAUAGGUUUUCCCUUCAAAGAUGGAUUCUCUAAUGUCUCAACAGCAGCAUAGAAAGCAUCCAUGUCAAUGUGCAGCCAUAUCUUUGAAAGGUCACGUGAAGCUUCCAGCUCCAAAAUUUUUUUAUUAGCCACCUGGAAGGCAGCAUGAUAGAAAUGAAUCAUGAUCAAGUUUCCACAGAACCUCACAAAAUAUCUAGAAUAACUAUAGCAAAAAACAAGCCACACCCCAUAUAUUUUGCUUUGGAAUUACAAUCUUACAUCAUCCAUGCCUGCCAAAAGUUAAUAUAUAUUUUAGCAAAAUAAAAAGAUUAAAGAGAAUCAAAUGCUUAAGGAAAUGCUUUUACGUCUUGAACCAUGAAAUAUUAACAAGAUCUCAAGUCCUCAAUAACGAUAAUUAUGCUAAAGCAAAGGCCAGAAUUUUAACAGUAUUAGCAGCUUAAAAAUAACAGUAAUAGUUGUUACAGAUAUUAGUUGCAUAAAGAAACUAUUUUUUGUGUGCAUAGACUGCAUUCUUACGCAUUUUUAUGAAAAUGAUACAUGUAGUCCAGUGUGAGAGUAUACAGUGAACUUUCAUCCUCCAUUAUUGCUUUAUUGUAGUUCAUUAAUAAUAGUAAACCUAAGAUCAUUGUCUUGAGCCACAACAUACAUCACAUAUGUUUCUAAUUCCACCAAUGCAAAUUAUGUCCAUUUGUUCUAUCUCUAGAUCUUACAAUGGAACAUCAUUACAUAUGGAUAUGAACUCAAUAUAUGGAAUAUAUUCACAUCUUUCACAUGUCACAUUAAAAUGCGAAUACACAAAUGCAAAUACACAUUAAUAUGCAUAUAGGCAAUCUGUAGCUGCCCCACCAUAUUCUUAGUCAAGAACAAUAAGCAAGAACUAUGGAUUUCACGAAUACAAGGGAGAUGCUUUAAAAUAGAAAAUAUUCAGAAGUUGUAACAUCCCAAAGCUUCAAAAUGUUGUUCGCUGUUGCAAGUUGUUUUCUUUGUGCAGUAAUUAUUAAAUCAAAACAAACAUAAUUUAAAGGUUAUAACAGAUAUUUCAAUUUGAUACAAAUGUAAGGGUUUUUAAAUCGAAACAAAAUGCUGGACAGUGCUUUAAAAUAGAAAAGAAUCAGAAAAAAACUUUGUAAUAUCCCAAAGCUUUAAAAUGAAGUUCACUAUUGCAAUUUGUUUUCUUCAUGCAGUCAUUGUUAAAACAAAACAACCAUAUUUUGAAGGUAGGCAGAACAAAUAUUUCAGUUUGAUACAAAUAUAAGGGUUCUUGUAUCAAAAAAAAUCUGGUUACUCUACAAAAGUUAUAUAUGCCUACCUCCUGAAAAUGGGGCAUGUCCUUAUCUGUCAGUUUUGCACACAGAGUAUGCAAAUUCUCUACUUUUUGUCUAAUAUAUGCCUCCUUACGUUUCUCAUUCUCGAAAUAUUUUGAUCCUUUACUCAUCUCAUAUAUGAUCCUCUGCACUUUCUCCUUGUCAACUCCCUCCAUUCCUAACAAUCAUGAAAUGUUGUACUUUAGAAAAUAGAAACAAUUAUACUACAGACAAAUAUAUGUAAAUGAAGAGCUAUUUAAAUUACCCUUGACCAGCCUUGCACCAUAACAAAAUGAAGUUAAAAAUUAACAUACACAUAGACAAGCUUCAUUUCUUUAUGUAUCAAAAACAUGUAUCAGAAAUCGAUGCUGCCAUUUCAUCCACAUAUUGAUCUUUUCUAAAUAAAUAAAAACAAUGUGAAAAAACUACAGAAAAAGGAGGAGCAGAAAAUGCUUUUCCAUUUUGAGGAAACAGACUAGGAAUAAACCCAGGGAAGGAAGGUGCAAGAAGGACCAGGAAAGACAACAGAGUGGAGACACACCCAAAACCCCUCACAGUAAAAUUCCACCAAUUACCUCAGUCCCAAAUCUGAUCUCUGAAAAAGACAGAUUCUUGCAUUCUUCUUGAUAGGAUAACAUUAAAACUGUAAGAAGAAGACCACAAGUGUAGAUCAUCAAAAGAGAAUUCUUCCACAAGUCUAGAUCAUCAAAAGAGAAUUCUUUCUUUUUCAUGAAGAUCAACAUAGCACAAGAUUGAUUAAAGAAUAUAGUUGCAUAAGAAGUUAUAUAAGGAUCUUUCUUUUUUGAGAUGUGAAGAAAGGAAUAUGUAAAGCUUAACAUCUUGAACCCGCACCAUCCCGUGUAUAGGGCAAUGAUCAGCAACUACAAUAUUAUAACACCAUUUUUAGUUUUAUGCGAGCAUGUCUCUACCUAAGUUGUAGACCGGCAUGAUUCCUAAUCCCUAACUGUCUUUACUCAGCCUUCCUUUUACACCACCCCUAACUCACUUCAUUCAUCCUACCAUUUACACCAUUCCCUAAUUUCAGUAAUAAUGAAAAAAAAGGCAUCAAUAUUCAACCUUGACAUGCUCAUCCAAUUUCCAACCCCACAAAUUUUUGUUGCAUCCCAGGAAAUAUCCAAUACAAAUGCCCCUUUACAUACACACACUCAUGCAUUCUUAAAUUCCUUACUAAAAAAUCCACUACUUUAGGGUUAGAACCAACCAAAAACACACGAAAUUCCAAGAAAAAUCAGGCCCAGCUGAAAGAAAGUACGAUUCCCAAUACACCAACUGCGCUCAACUCAUUUGCAAAUAAGCAGACUCGUUGUUGCAUCCAGCCAGAACGCCCACCAAGUAAAUAACCCAAACUGAAGAAAAGGUAACGGAGCAGAAACAGGCAACUCUAAUCUUGCUAUCUUGAGAACAGCUCAUACAAGGGUUAAAGCAAGAAAAAAGAACUACUAAAACAAGAAAUCAAAGAGAGGAAGAGGGAAAGAAUCAAGAACUCUACGACCAAAAGCUACAAACCUAAAAAAAUUGGGUGAAAAAUAAUAGAAAAAAGAGGAGACGGAGUGGAUCUACUCCUAGAUAAAUCUCUUGGGAGGAUCAAACUACCUGCUUUGGCGUUGGUGUAGGCCGUGUGAUAGGACUGCCACGGCCGAUCUCCAUCGGAGAUCGUCCCCAUCUUCUCCAAGAAGGCAAGAACCAGGAGAGUGCGGAAAAACAGAAAAAAUAAACGACCGCCGAAACGUACAAAACGCUCGUCCUCGAUAUUUAUAGUCGCCGUGUGGGUCGCGAUUUGAAUCCGUCACUCGGGGUUGACCGUCAUCCAAUCCGACCUGGCUUGCUUGGGCCUAAUUCAAUUUAUUUUGGAGGACUGUGAGGCUGGAUGGAUUCUAAAAUUAAAUUUUUUUUAUAUUUUAGGUCAAAUGUGGAUUGAAAUUCUUUAAAUUUAAAAUUUGGAUAUUUUUAAAUUUUUAAUUCGUUAAUCCGCCCAGAUUCGAACCGAUUCGAAUCUAUAGAAUUAUUGGUGUAAAUAAGUUCUAAAGUCAUAAAUAGAUUGGUCGGAAUCAAACCCAAAUUUUUUUUAAUAAAAUUUGGAUUAUAAAUGAAUCCAAUUUGAUCCGAAUAAUUUAUUGGAUCAAAAAUUGUAACGAUGGAUUUGGCUCGACAGAACCCAACUUAUUUACACCAUCAGAACCCAACUUAUUUACACCAUACGCCCCGUGGUAUAGUUUUCUGGGGGCUUCAGAGCGCGUUGCCCACAUCCGUCCGAUAAGAUCGAUCAUUGAAACCAAGAAUCCAAAGACCGGCAUUACACCGUUUAUACGCGCCUAAAGGUUGCCAUUAGUGACCGUAAUGAUAAAAAAAAUUUUGCUUUGUCAACCUCUUCACAAUUUAUAAUAAAUAAUUUGUUGAUAAUGGAUAAUAAAAGCAAAAUUACUUUUUUGUUUGACUAGUUAGCGGAUUUGAUUAUUCUAAAUUAUAAAUCACAUCAAAGUUUUUCAUUUUAUCCAAUUGAAUUAAUACUAAAAGUAUAGGCAAUAAACGUUUGAAGCACAUGACUUCGUUUUCUAGGAAAUUAAGAUAAAAUUAAUCAUGAUCAUUUUUUUCUUUUCACAAGCCUACGAUGAGUGUAACCCAAUUCAACUCUUGCAGCAGCAUUCUCUUUCAGUACCUUACCAAACAAUGGGAGCUUAGGAGCUUCUUGUUAUGGCUGUUAUAACCUUACGACUUGAUCAUUUUGUCCAAGCAUGCCAAAGCACUCUCAAGAAAAACUGGACAUUUAAAAAUCUAGCAAACUCGUUAUGAGAUUCAUGUUACCUCAAAUUGAAGAACCAACAGCCUUUUUUUUUUCAUUGGGUGUAUUCGUACCCAUGAUGUAUGAAAUUUCUAUUUAAAAAAUUAAAAAAAAAGAAGUUGGCUGGAACUUCUAUUCCAUGAGGCUAUGCUUGCAAUGUCCAUAUAAGUGCCUGAAAUUUAGGAGGAGGUUUUCAGUCUGUCUAACAAAAAUCCAUUCAAUUUCAUCAAUUCCACAGCAUGCACAUACCUUAGAUUAUCUUCCUUAAUAUACUUAACCUAUUAGUAAGAAGAUUGUUUCAUUCCAACUCACUCAUCUCUUGUUUGUUACAGUUGUUUGCGGUUCAAAUUUGGCCUGAAGGUGACCACGCCGGAGGAGCCGAGGGAGCUGCCGGAAUGUUGAGGAAGAAGGUGAGCCGCCUCCUUCGCGACGGUGUACCUGCACAAAACUUUACCGGUGAUUCCAGUGAGGGCCCUCCGACGAUCAAGUAGGGUGGAUCUUUAUUGGUCCAAAAAUUCCUGCAACGUUACCUGUUGCGGCUAUUUAUAGUCUCCGUAGAAGUGCCCAGAUGGUGGAGGUAUAGCCCGUCCUCAUCAUGGGAGGAGAUGGCUUCAAGCCAGAUGGCGCAUAGCUAGAGUUUGCUUGAGGCACAUGGUGCGGUCCGUUCAUGUGAACAGUAGGCGUUAACAGUUGUAGCAGGAUAUGGCUGGAAGUAGCAUGGCGAUGUCCUUGUCUGUCGUUGGCCAGCAAGCGAAGCAUGGUGCGGUGACGUCAUAAUAUACGACCACGUAGGUGGGCAUGGGCGUGACCGAGCUCGAUGAGGGGUCGCGUCAUGUAUUCGGCGAGGUCGGCUUGGCGAGUGUUGAGGUCGGCAUUGCUUCCUUAAUUCUGAGGUUUGCUCGGUAGGGCACCCCAAGCUCAAGGGUCGGGGCGCGUUGUUAGAUAGGGCACCCCGAACUUGGCCGGGGCGUAUCGUCGAAUAUUAAGGGCACCUCGAGCUCGGGUCGGGGCGUGUCGGCAAAUAUAAAAGGCACCCCGAGCUCGGUCGGGCGCGUCGACGAAUAUAAGGGCACUCGAGCUCGGGUCGGGAUGCAUCGGCGAAUAGUCCUGUAGUCGAAGGAGCUCUUUGGCUCGUAACUGACUCAGCAGGAUGUCCCAAGCUCGAGCUCGGGACGUUACUACAGGUGUUAGAAGAGGUUUCGGCAGGUCGUAGUAGCGGAGAGAUCUGGCCGAGGUCAACUAAAUCUUCGGCGAAGUCUGAGAUUGGGCCGGCUUUGAGCAGGGUUGUAGUCUUGCCCGGCCGAGAAGGGACGAUCCCUUGCCCUAAUCAGGACCAUCCAUUUUACCCCCCAUCAACAGCAAUUCACAUACUUCUGGUUUUCUAAAUCACAGAGAAAACUUCUUGGAAAAAAAAAGAAAACAAAGAAAAACAUUCCCCAUAUAUAUCUGCAUGUUAUGAGAUUCCUCAAAUAAUCACUCUUGGAAAGAUUUCAAAAACUUUGUUGAUGGUUCUAUUGGAACUACAUAAUUAUCCUAUUGAUCUUCAACCAAGAUGGUGGAGGAGGAUGUUCUUGAUGAAUCCCCUGGGGUUUCUUAGAGGAGAUAAUGCAUCAAUUAUGGACUUGGUAAUAUGUUGCAGAGACAUUCCAAGUUUUCUGAGCCAUUAACCUUUCCAUCCCCUUAGUCAUAGAAUAAUACAAACUCCUAAGUUUCCAUGUUAACUAUAUUGAAAUAGAAGAAUUAAAAAAGAGAAUUGUAUUUUUGCUCGUUUGUUAUAAUAUACAGGAGUAGCCUUUAUAUAGACUAGGAAGUUGACGAAAUUUGGUAAAGCCGACUAAAUUUGGCACAAUCAGCCUUUAUGGAGGCCGACUAUAUUUGGCACAAGCAAUGGUGAAGUUUGGUAAGGCCAACUAAGUUUGGCAUAAUCAAUCAAUCAAUGGAUGCUAACAUUCUCCCUCAAACUUAAGGUGGUAAAGUAGACACCAACUUGAGCUUGGAAACAAGAGAUCAAAAGAUGCUAGAAGAAUGAGCUUUGGUAAAGACGUCCGCAAGUUGAUUAGCCGUGAAAACUGGAUCACGAAUGUACCGAAAAACUGACGUACUAGAUCAUGAGUAGGAGUAGGAGCUACUAGAGUUUGAAGUGAGAGCGUGCCUACCAAGUUUACAUUCACCAAGCUUCUGAUGGUACAGUGUGACGCACUGCUGCUGGUGUUUGGAGCGAUACUGCGCCUACCAAGUUUACCUACCAAGCUUUUGAUGGUACGGUUUGACACACUAUUGCUAGGGUUUAGAGCAAGUCCGCGCUUGCCAAGUUUACCCACCAAGCUUCUGACGAUAUGGUUUGAUGUGUUGCUGCUAGAGUUUGGAGUGAGACUGCGCCUGUCAAGUUAACCUGCCAAGUUUCUGACAGUACGGUUUGAUACGCUGUUGUUGGAAUUUGGAGCAAGAUCGUGCCUGCUAAGUUUAUCCGUCAAGCUUCUAACAGUACAGUUUAACAUGCUACUAUUGGGGUUUAGAGCGAAAUCGUGCCUACCAAGUUUAUUUGUCAAGCUUCUACCAAGUUUAUCUGUCAAGCUUCUGACGGCAUGGUUUGACGCACUGCUACUGGGAUUUGGAGCGAAACCACGGCUGCCAAGUUUACCUUUGCUAUAUUUCUGAUGGUAUAGUUUGACGUGCAUCGUCGCCACCUCCAAGGAGAAACAAAAAAGAAAAUAAAACAACGAGAAAAACAAUUUUGUUUUCGGCUUGGAAGAGUGAACACCCAAAUCCGCUGAGCCCCUCACAUGAAGCACUUGGGAAGAAGGACACCCGAAAAAAAUCCCCCCCUUCACGUGAAGAAAGCACCCACAGCAGCCCAACAAAUAUAUAUAUAUAUAUAUUUUAAAUUGAAAGUCAAACGAAGAAUAAUGAAAAAUAACAAAAAAAUUAAAGAAAAAAAUAAGAAAAAAAAGAAGGCUAUAACUUUAUUAGGAUCCCAAUAAAAAGAAGAGGACUUUGGAAAUUGCUGAGGCCGAAGCCCCCAAACGAGGUAGGAGAUAUAGAGGAUCUGCGAGCGACGACGACGACCACAGAAAAGAGAAAGAGAGGACGACAGUAGGUUACGUGAUCGGUAGCUUUGAUACCAUGUUGAAACAGAAGAAUGAGAGAAAAUAAUUGUAUUUAUAUCCGUUUGUUACAAUAUACAGAAGCAGCUUUUAUAUAGACUAGGAGGCUGACGAAUUUUGGUAAGGCCGACUAAGUUUGGCACAAUCAAUCACAAAUCAAUUAAGGUGAAGUUUGGUAAGGCCAACUAAGUUUGGCACAAUCAGCUUUUAUGGAGGAUGACUAUAUUUGGCACAAUCGAUGGUAAAUUUGAUAAAGCCGACUAAGUUUGGCAUAACCAUUCAAUCAACGGAUUAUAACAAAUCAAUUGGUACAAGUAGCAAAAGGCACGUACCAUUUCAGGAUCAUGAGUCCCUUCCCAAAUGGAAGCUUGAAGCCGAAGGUUUCUUUUAGAGAGACGGGAGAUGAUGGUAUAAUGGCCACCUCGCCACUGGGCGAUUCCCUAAUAGUGUAGAAACCAACCCCCUAUAACUAUGCGCCUCUCAUGGUCUUAUGCACCACAAUCUCACUGAUAUAGUUUGUUUUUCAUACUUGCCCCUUGAUUGUGUCAUGCUAUCAUGUUAUUAAUGUGGUGCAUUUAUACUUAUUUUUUUUUUUGGUAAAUCGGCAGCUCACACAUGACGAGCGUGAAGCUGGCCCACAAAAUCAGAAAACAAAAUGCUACGCAAGGACGAAGGCACAGCCUCGUGGCCUAUCCAAAAAAAACCUCCCGAAUGAUGGGCCGCGAAAGAAGCAACCUAGUCAGCCGCACCGUUUGCCUCCCGAUAUACGUGCGAGGCUUGGUAGGAGACAGUCUCCUCCAAAGCUCUACGGAUAUCGUGAAGCAGCGGCCGGUCCUCGACUGAGCACCCUCCUUCCCGGAUCCACCCAACCACCGUGGUCGAGUCCCCCUCGAGAAGGGAGACUUAAAUUUUAUACUUAUCGUUGUCCAUGAUUUGCACCCUUAAAUUUUAUUCUUAAAGUUACUGCAUGGUUACACAUUUCCAAGACGAGGGUGCCCGCGGCUAGCCCAAGCUUCUAUGUGUAUAUGAAACAAACAAUAGCAUGCAAUAGGGCAAUAGGGGUGACCAUUAACUAGAACGAUAAUUUCCCUUCAAUGGAUAUGACAGUCUGAUAUCAAACUUAAAAUUAUUGGAGGAUGGUUAUUAUAUAUAAGUCCCAUGAAACCAACGUUUGAGACAUUCAUGCAUUCAUAGCAUGCAUGAAACUCACUGAAGCAGAUGCUACCAAGUUAAUUUGGAAAUGAAGAACUCUUCUCGCACGUAUAGCUUACCGAUUUGAGACAAACUUCUAGCUAUUGAUAGAUUUGGUGCAGUUUGGUUAAUACAUAAUCAACCAUAGACUAUCAUACCAUCCAGUAUAGACGUGCUGCACCGUUCUGAGUCGGAACUGGUGCAAAAAAUUAAUUUAGAUCGGUGUAGAUCCGAUGCCAACCAUACUGAUCCACCCUGAGAGACAUAACAAUCCCUACCGAGGUUGAUAGCAUCGAUAUAAAAAGUAAGAAAAACGACUCUAAUGAUGUUUCUGUCAUACCCCCGCCUGCGUGGGGCACGUGAGGCACCCAGUGCCCAAGUGGAGGCUACAGGAGGGGGGAACACGAGGCUUUCCUAUCAGAUAUUGUCCGAUUCCGAGGCCUGCCCGCACGCGCGCGCCGCUAAGACCCUCUCCGAUUUUGUUUUCCAUCCAAAACGUAUAUGCAGGAUUUGGAGACAUGCGUCUCAUAUGCCCAGGUUCUGAAACGAGUCUAGCAGAUGUGGGAUAUUUCAUUCACCCACCCUCGGACUAGAGCCGUUCUCGGCUUUGAUACCAAAUGUCACGCCCCCCGCCUGCGCGGGGCAUCUGAGGGACCCAGUACCCUUGUGGAGGCCACAGGAGGAGGAACACGGAGUUCCCUUGCCAGAUAUUGUCUAGUUCCGGGGCUCGUAUCCACGCGCGCCGCUCAGACCCCUUUCCGGUUUUGUUUUCCACCCAAAAUGUGUCUGUAGGAUUUAGAGACACCCGCAUCAUAUGCCCAGGCUCUGAAACGAGUUUAACCGAUGUGAGAUCUUUCAUUCAUCCACCCUCGGACUAGAGUCAUCCUCGACUCUAAUACCAAAUGUCGCNNNNNNNNNNNNNNNNNNNNNNNNNNNNNNNNNNNNNNNNNNNNNNNNNNNNNNNNNNNNNNNNNNNNNNNNNNNNNNNNNNNNNNNNNNNNNNNNNNNNNNNNNNNNNNNNNNNNNNNNNNNNNNNNNNNNNNNNNNNNNNNNNNNNNNNNNNNNNNNNNNNNNNNNNNNNNNNNNNNNNNNNNNNNNNNNNNNNNNNNNNNNNNNNNNNNNNNNNNNNNNNNNNNNNNNNNNNNNNNNNNNNNNNNNNNNNNNNNNNNNNNNNNNNNNNNNNNNNNNNNNNNNNNNNNNNNNNNNNNNNNNNNNNNNNNNNNNNNNNNNNNNNNNNNNNNNNNNNNNNNNNNNNNNNNNNNNNNNNNNCCAUCGCUUCCCCUAAUCCGCAUCCUAUUGGUUAUACUACACACUAAAGUCAGCCGUUGCUUCUCUCAAAUGUCAGCAAUUCUUGGACAUUAGCACAUAAGGCCAUGAAGGAUCACGAUGAAUUUGGAUAUACAUUGACCACCCCAAAUCAUCUGACAUACAAUCCAUAGGGCAAGUCAAUUAGUUGACAUCAUUAAUAACUUUUCUAGCAAAAUUGUCAUUAAUUUCUUAUUAGAUCUCUAUAGAAUAAAGAUCAUAAAAAGCAUUCAAUCUCUUCGAAAUUAGCAGAUAAUAUGUGAGAGUGGCGGUCGGAGCUAUGGACAGAUACUAACCACUUUCCUACUGUCCCUUUGUGGCUUCAAGAAGCAUUGAUUCCUCUUCUCUUUUAUCCAUGUUACCCGCAACUACCAGAAGCUCUUCUUCUCCUCUCUUUUUUGCUUCAAGAACCAUCGAUUCCUCCUCUCUUUUAUCCAUGUUAUACUGCACGCUUUGCUCAUCAUCUACCACUGCUUUAGCUUCCUCACCAUUCUCAUCACUGUCCUCUGCAUCUUCGUCAACAUCCUUUAUGAAUGAAUCCAAUAUAACCUGUCGUCUUCUUCACUUUCCUCUUAUUCUUCUUCUUAUCCCACUAGUUCUCUUUCCUCCUUUUCUUUUGGUAGAUUUUUGGUGGGAUAUUCCGGUGCUGCGCGGUCGCAAUCGCCCUCUUCGUAGCCGUUGCCGAGAUGGAAUGGAGUUUUAUGAUAAAAUUUUGGUAGGUCAGUUUUGUUCUUUCAUUUUUUUUUCUUUAGCUAUUUUAAAUUUGAUAUAACUUUAAUUUUAAUUUAUUUUUUGUUUGAUUACUAAUUAAUGUCUAUUUUUCCUUAAUAAUAACGAUAUUGGAGUGAUAAGCUGGAAGGGGCAUGCUACAUAUCUUGUAAGUAUUUUCCCACUAUUCUUUAAAUUUCUGUCAUUUAUACCCUUUAGGAGAAAUGUCUUUUUUCGACUAAUUUGUGAUAGGGAAGAGAGAGCUAUCUGAAGUAUAAAUUGUUGAUUUCUUGAAAAACAGUGUUGCUGUGAUGACAACAGUUUUGUGAAAUGUCUGAUAAAGAGUGGGCAGCAGAAAGAAUUUGAUUUUGUUUAAGGGGGUUGCAAGUUACCUUCUUAUGGCAUGUGGUUUGACGUACGUGAUCUCAAAAACUAUGGGACUUUAAAAAUGGUUUGAUUGCUCAUUUUUCACACUAAAGAACAAAAGAUAAGGCCUCAUGUGCCAAUUCUAUGCCUGGAUGAGUGGUGUUUAGCAUGGUGAACCUUGGAAUCUAAAUUCACAAUCAUGUAAAUUUUAGUUCUUUGGUUUCAAAUAUCAUCAAAAUUAAAGAUAUAUGGAGUAACUUUUCAAGGUUGGACUAGGUAAUUGGCAACUUGAGGCAAGAGAUGAUGCUUUUAACUUUGCUCCUUUGAUCAUGCCAAGGUGUGCCCCCCACCAAACCAAAAAAAAAAAAAAUGGAGCCAACCCAAAAUACAAUGCACACAAACAUAUCACAUAUAUAUAGGUCAAGUUAAAGUUGCAUAUUUUAUUCUGAAUUGGAUGAUGUAGAUCCAAUAUUGAUAAUCCAAGCUAUUAGAUGUGAUCUACUAUUACCUUUAAACUACUUAUAUCCAAAAAAAUCAUGUGAUUUGGAGUUCCCUAGCCCCUGCAUAUAGCAGUCAAAAAGUUUCAUGUUAUUGAAAUUAUUCAAUUUUACUUUAUACAUAAGUUAAAGAGCAUCAAACCAUAUGAUUUUUGGUGCGUAAGUAAUUUAGUGAUAGUAGAUAACAUCCAAUGGCUUGGAUCAUCAAUAUGGGACCCUCAUCGUCUAAUUCAAAAAGUAACUUUUAUGUGUGUGUGUGUGUGUGUGUAUGUAUGCAUGUGUAUGUAUGUAUGUGUGUGUAUAUAUUGAUUAUGUUCUAGUAUUGUGUAUAGCUAUUUAUGGCUACAGCUAUUCUGGGUGUUUUGAUGCAUUGGUUUCUUGAAGCGUGCACGCCAGGAGAAGGAAAUAACAAAAAGCAAGUAGUUAGAGAUCUAGAGGUAAGCAAUUAGUUCAUUGGCAGCAAAAGCCAUUCAACUGCAAAGGCUAUGGUAGAUGUUAGUUUUUACGUACAACAUAUGUUUGUCUCCUAAGUUCAGUUAUUUUGUAAUGUUCAUUGUUCUUUAUUCUGUGACUUUCUCAAGCUUGAAUUGUAAGUAUGAGAGCAUCCAAGUCAAUCAAAUUUUAUAAUAAGUUCUUUGCAAUGGUGAAAAAUGAAACAAUGAACUAAUUUAAUAAUUAUUACUAAAUUAGUCUUGUGAGAACUUAAACAGCAAAGAGGUCAGCAUACAGCUACUUACAUUCAACUCUUUAACACAUUCUUCAUCCUCUCUUUCUUAUUCUCCACAUAACCGGAGGAAUCUUCGCCGUGCAUGGCUUUUAUAAAAAACGAAGCUAGGGUGACAGCUUAGACUCCAAGUCUUUAUAUAUACCAUAUGGCCUAGUCUAGUACCAAUUCAACCUCCACCCUCCAUUUUAUGUAAACGCCUUAAAAGAAGUAAAUGAUCCAUAUGUUCUUCUUCCUGCCAACAUUGUAAACAGGAUCUUAAUUAUGAUCCAAAUUCUGGAUCAUAUGACCCGGACUAAAAUGACCUCCAGUGGUCUAUAUAGUCCUUGGAUUUUCUGGACAUUUUUAUCAUGUCUGCAGUCAUUUUCUUGAUCUCCUUCUUGCAGUUAACCCCUUUAUGUCUUUGGAUUCUAUAUCCUGUAAUACUUUUGGUGGUUGGAGGACCACUGCAGCACUGGAAAGAUGACUAGCCUUGGAAAUGUAAACAUGAAACACAAUGAAGGUUUUGAGAGUAUUCUAGGAAGUAAAGUGUUAUGAUAGCUAUUAAUUUGAUUUGUAGUCAUGUUUUUCUGCUGCAUCAUUCUAUGAGAUGUUAAUGAGAUGACUAACUCAUGCCACAAUGAACUCGAGUUGUAUGGUCAGUUUGAAUUCUUCCUCCAUGGUAGUCUAUAGACUCUAUACAUUCAAUUUCAUGGACUUUAAACCAUUUGGAGAACAGAGUUCCUUUCUUGACUUUUCGUGUGAGUUCAACCAUCCUACUCCUUCAUAUAGUUAUCGAAGUCACGCAUGCCAUAACCAGCCAUCACCAACCUGAGAGAAAGCAUUCUAAUGCACACCUUCAAUACCGAGGUCUCAGAUAGACGGAAUGCCAACAGACUUACGAUUCUUUUGCAGACCUUUAUUGCUGCAAAUCAUGUAAAACGAGAUUGCAGCAAAAGAUGCAACUGUUAUACCUGGCCGGAAUCCUUUUUUCUAUCUUGAGAUGAAUGCCUCUGGUUGUUAGUCUGGCUAUUACAAUAUUAUUCCUAUUCUUAUAUUUUCUUGACUGCUCUAAGUCAUUAUUUAUGAGAAGUGUGUCUUGAAUAAAUUCAUUUUUUCCUCCUAGCUUUUUAAAUGUGAGUCAAUAUGUGUGAUGUAUUCUCUAUGGGGUUAUGAUUAUAUAUUAUUCUCUAUGGGGUUUGAAUCUUUGACCUUAGGUUAACAGCCACAAGCUUCAACUAACUAAGAUGUGGAGUGGGAAAAUGUGAGGUGCGGAGACUGGAUCUGGAAUAGGGAAACAUGCGAUGUGGGAGCAGCACAGACAUCGUGACACACCUCAUGCACAAGCACAUUGGCGGAUUUGAUAUGAUAUAUUAGAAUAGAUUUUUUUUUUUGCUAAACGGAUAAUUCAUAAAGUUAAGGAGCGGAGCGCUUUACGCAGCUCCCUCUCUCCUACCUAUAGGACUCCUUCAGAGUGAUUGGCCAUAUACGAGGAUAUCCAAUCCAUAGCCUCGUUAGCCUCUCUAUAAAUAUGCUUGGCUUAAAACGCCACGCCACCCCUAACCAUAGCCCGAAUAUUUUAAAAGCAAGAAGUGGUACCCAUCCACACCGCAGGUACCCUCCUAGAUCCAGCCAAUCACCGUAGCCAAAUCACCCUUAAGCAUGACUUCUCUAGCCCGUAGCACAUGCCAAGCACAGCCCGUGCCGCCCAUUAGAAUAGAUUUUGUCCAGUUUGGUAUGGUAUUCCGUGGGCUGAAAGAUUUUCACAGUGGAUCGACGUCCAUCUAUACCUGCAGGACUUGAUUAGGACGCAAAUCUAGGCAAAUUACUGAGCAAGAAAGAAAAAGGUUAAGCCAAACCAAGAUUUGCUAUCUUAGUAUUGAACUUCGUAUCGGUGUCACACUAGUACAGUACCGGUACGGUAUGGUACAGAGUUUUUUUGUGUACCUUCGGUACGCUAUCCGUACUGGGUAUCAGUACUGAAUCGGUAUGAUACGGUAUAUCCUGUACCAUCCGGUUCGGACCGGUAUAGCAUACCAUGAGCCAAACAUAUUUUUUAACUCUGAUUCAAAUGGUUGUCUGACUUGAGUAAUGCUGAAUAAGGCUAGAUGACCCUAAGAAUGAUAAGAUUAGACUUGACGCUAGCAAGACUCUGACAAACUUUCUGUGUACCUUUUUAUUUGGACAGUGUUGUAGCCUUCCGAGCUUUCCUCGGGCUGGGCUUCAGCGGAUGGUUCUUAUUGCCUGCAUCAGAUAGACAAAGUUUUGCCUUACUUGAAUGUAAGGCCAUCUCUUAGACACAUAUCCUUAGGGGAAAUUAUGUUUUGAUGAAAAUAUACCAAUGGAUUGCAGAAACUAAAGAUAUCAGUCCUACCAUCCUAAUGUAAUUUCUUGUAUCAACUUCAGCAGAGAGAUUCUGUAAUCUGCAUGAUGGAGCUAAAUCUGAAAUAAUGUUUGGUUCAGUCGAAAAGAAUAAUCCUGCCUGCUGAUGCUGUGGGUGUAAAAAUUGAUGCAACAUAUACAGGCUCUCAGAUUUACAUGCUGAUCAUCUGAUUUGUCAUGUGUGAAAUGCUAUCUCAUAGCAUCCAGUUUCAUUCUCCAGCAACUCGUUCAAAAUUAUAUGCUGAAGCAAUUCUGUUUAUGUUAGGUUAAAUGCAACAUUGAAAUCACCUUUGUAGCUUCCUGGAAAGAAGCAAUUUAUGGUGCAUGGAAAGCAUAUCCCCUAGUGAAGCAAAAAUGAUGACAGGCUUUUUGUAAACCCAUAAUUAAAUUUGUUAAGGAACUUGUAUUGGUGACUGUAACACCUCAAUUUACUGGCAUUAAUUAGUGAAAAAGUAGUUCACCAAGAACAUACAAUUAGAGGACUAAGAUUAUCUACAACUGAAGUUUGAUUCGGAAAACUACAUACACAUUAAUGUCAUCAACGAGUCCCUGGACAGAACUUCAACCCUUUGAUGAAGUUCUUCAAUGCAACAGUAGUGUACAACAUAUGGCUUCCUAUUUCCCCUGUCCAACAUUAUAUAAAGAGUAACCAGAUCAAGCGAGGCUGAUUUGGGGGAUACAUAACCUCCUAUACCCUCAUAGUUAUGUGAAUUAAUAGUCUUCAAGCAGUGUUGCAAAAGUCAAAAAAGGCAACGCGAGAAAAAUCAGAGGGCCUCGUGGUAUUCAUCCCAACUGUACAACUCAGCUCCUAAAAGAAUUGAAUGGCUGAAAGCACCUUCAUUUGAUCCCGAGGGGAAAACAACCAGCCAAAAUCAGAGGAGUUUCAAAACUUCCUUUCCAUGAGGCUUGGGUAAUGUAUAUAGCUGAAAGUUGCCAGCAGCCAAUUGUAUACCAUUCAAAAUCUUUGUCGUAGAGCCAGGCAGACUUGGCCCAAUGUAAUUUGGAUAAGCGGAGAAACAUGGUGCAAUCUCAGAGUUUGAGUAAGGUGAGGGACGGGAGGCUGCUGAUUCAGAAGUUUCAGGACAAGAAUGGCUGGCUUCGCUGUUUGCAAGAAAAUCGCACAUAGAUAAGUUUGCAUAUGGAUGUCCUAAAAAGGUGAAUCUCACAAUGUAACAUCACUGCUACCAGCUUACCCAUUUGAUGACCGAUUUGCAUUCAUGCAUGUGUCACUUUUCGAUGUGGUUCUGUCUCUUGAACUGUAAGUUGUAUCCUGCAAAAGUUGGAUAGAUGCAUUUUAACAUAUCCAGAACUGACAAGGAUGAGUAAUUGUAGAACAAAUGGUACAUAUUGAGACUUACUAUUUUAAUUCCUGCAAAUGCCUCUAUGGAACCAUGAAGGUUGUAAUGGUGGGAGUUUCGUAUAAAAGGAUGUUCAAGCAACAUGUUUGCUGUUGGCCUUUCUGCUGGAUUCCUACGAAAGCAACGCCGAAGAAAGUCCUUACCCUCAGAGGAUAAUGUUUCAGGAAUAGGCGGGUCUUUAUGUAAGACCUUGAACAUAGCUGCUGGCUGUGGUCAUUAUAAAUAGAAUAAAGAAUUCAUUUUCAGAAGGAAGAAUAAGGUGCAUCUAAAACAAAAGUGCACAGAUAACUGAUAAGUGCUCCCAUAUUUUUACAACAUAGGCAUUCAUCAUCGGAUCCAAUUUUGAUCUAAUAUUUGGCGAGUAGGAUUGACAGAACGAAAAAGGAAUUUUUUGAAUAUAUUAGAAUGAAUAAGAAGCAAUUAUUCAAUGGGUGUCAAAGAUGCUGCCUAUAUCUGUAUAAUACAAGUAUACAUAAUAUGCUAUGAAUAUUUUGACAUGCAUGCGAGUUAAGAGUCAUAAAAUCAUGGUGUCUUGGGUUCCCUUCCAUUAGCUCAUAGGACUGUACAUGGCACAAGGUAGGGCAUUAUUCAUGAACGCAUCGGCACAAUACAGUAUUUUCUCCAAGGCAUGAAAUCAAAGAAUUGCCAUGAAGGCAUAUGGAAGUUCAAAAUUUAUUGAGCUUGCUAGAGAUAUUUUAAGUACCUAAGUAUUAUAAGGGUCUGUUUGGACCAAUGUUCAAAAAGAUGUCCGACCUGCCACCUGCAGGUAAAUACAGGCCAGGUCAACUGGGAUUUUAUGAAAACUCACUCCAAACCAUUGAACUGCAUAGUUCAACUGUUCAACCCAUUUGAACAAUUCUGGUUCAAUGGGUCGCAGGUCACAUUAUCUUAUUAGACGGAAGCCCUAAAUAGGAUGCUCUGUUCUUCUCUCCUCUCCAUUCUCCUACUCCAUUUCCUCCUAGUGCUAGGCUAUGUCCUUGCACCCCCAACAUCUUCUCUUUCUCUCCAUCUCCUUCGUCUCCCUCCCUACUCUCUUCUCCCUCUCAAGCUCACCUUGCUCUCACUCUAUCAGCCAUCAACUCCACCAUCCAGUCCCCCAGAUCCAAAUACCUUUGGCUUCACCAUGCUGUCAUGGCCAUCAAUGGUAGGAGAUCAUUCAUAAAUUGUUGGCUACCUCUAUUCUUUAUUCUCCACUCAAGCAAGGACAAGGGCGAGGAGGAUGAUGCGGGGUCUUGUGGUGACAAGAACACACAACACUCCCCCCCCCCCUGCGCGGGGUCUCUACUCUGCAAAUACCAACUCCACAAGAUGUAAUUCAUGGAUAGGGCGACAAUAUCAUUAAUAGAUGUAUUUUGGCUUAUGCUGCCAUAUGCUUUACAUGAUAAGUAUGUACAGCAGCCAAAAAGAAGCAAAUUGAAGUGGGUGUGAGCAUCUCAGAGAGUAAUUGGAACUCUCAGAAAUUUGAGGAGGUUGAACUCUUUGGUUAAAAAGUAACAUUGGGUAUAACAAAUCAUAAAACAUUCAUUUACUUAGGGAUCCUACUAUAGUAAAACACAUGAUACAUAAAAUGCAUAGAGUGAGAAUAGAAGCUUUAUUAUUGUCAUCCACUGUAUAGGAAUGCAAGAAGAAAAAGAUUGACAAAAUAUUCUACUGGAAGCACAAGCAAGCCAGCGCUUGCAUGAGCAAGAUUAAAGUGGGAGCUGAACUUCAAGCAGGAGAUUCCAUUUGUUAUACAGGUAGUUAUAAGCUUUUAAAUAUUGUAACCAAAACUUGUAUCAGUUUUCUCAGCACGGUCUCAGUACAGUACCAGUAUAGACGGUACAUACCGAAUCUAAAAACAUCAAAAAAAAAUGAAAAAUUAUCAGUAUGACUGGUAGAAUCAGCAUGGUAUUGUCAAUAUGCACAGGUACAUACCGGUACAAAUGAUUUCAACGUCCUAGCACCUGUUAUGGUGCUGCUUUUGCAAUGGAAAAGUACAUAAAGACAGUACAGUCCCAUUCCAAUUGUUUUUUAUUCCAUUAAGUGUUACAAACUGUUUCAGGCUCUUUGUCUUUUAGUGUUGGUGAGAUAUCAAAAUAAAUUCAGACAUGAUUUUCUAGACAGUUUGUUUAAUGCACAACCAUGGCCUAGAAGGCUAUAGAUUGGCCCUGGGUAAACAAAGAUCAACCAGAAAAAGAUAGUUUGUGGAAGAAGAACUAGAAAAUUUUAUUAACUUCAGAGAAACUGAACUUAAUUACUGCAAACUCCCCUCUAUUAUAAUUGUAGAUUGCAUUCCAGAAUAUAAACUUCUUGAAGAAAAAUGGCUCUUCUCUACACUUUCCUAGAUACAAGGAGAGCCGAGAAGACUUUCCCAAAAUAGUAAAAUUUGUAACACUAGAAGAACCAACUCUAAUAAGUCUAAGCUGAAUAUUGGAAGAGGCCCCAGAAUAAACAUGAAAUUCCUAGAAUGUAGAAAAUAUCUUACCAUUCCACAAAGGAUUUAAUCAAAAGAGCCUUACUAACUGAAAAUGAGGAAAAAAAGAAAGUCCCAGUUUGAGACUUUCUUGUGCACAAGUCUCCUCUGCAUUUCCAUGACCACUUGAUCUUCAAUUUUGACCACAUAAUGUGUUGACCAGUUGGCUGUCCUAGUCACCCAAAAUGGCCCCGUAGAAAAAAGCAAGCCAUAGAUCUUUUUAGAGUACUUGAGAGCACGGCAUUCAGCCUGUUGAGUGCUGUUGUACUGGUGGGAAUUUGAGUAGUUAAUAUUGGAAAACUAAGAAAGAGUAUACCUAGUUCAGGUGCACUGUAGACCUACGAAAAGUAUUCGGCAAGGAUGUCUUGUGCAGAAGAGGAUGCUUUGCAGGUGUAAGUCAGGCUCAAAAAAAAUGAAUGUAAGAACUUGGAUAACACAAUUCCCUAUUUAAUUUGUUGUUUUAAAAAGCUUUGACCACUUCAUCAGCAUGACUUCAUGCAUCUAAGACAAGAAAGUUACUAAGUGCAGGAAGUUGCAGGAAACAUACAGACAAAGCCCUCAACAAAACCUGUCAACAAAGAACUGCAGGUAAUCAUAGUAAGAAAAUAUGGAUUUUUAAUAAAAGAAAACAUCAAUUUCUAAUUUGACAAAGACUUAGGAAAAAAAGAUUUAUCAAAAAAAUGGAAAAAAGAUUGUAGUGCAAAGAAUGCUUGAACUAUCUUAAUAUUUAAAAAUUCAAGAAAAUAGAAAAAAAGAAGAAUUGGAGAAAUAAUUAUUGGAUGUCUCAUAAAAACCACCAAAUCCAUAAAUCAUGUUUUCAGUGAAAAUAAUCAGAAAAUAGCUUUCCAAAAAAAAAAUGAUAAUAAUUGGACAAUUUUAGCAUAGAAAAAUUGGAACCAUGAAUAUUAUUACUUCAGAGAUUAUUCAUCACCAACAUUUCAUCUAGUAUUAAUAAUGAUAUUUGGAAUUGACAUCUCGAAACAUUAAAAAAGGCAAAAAUCGUUCAUCCCAUGACAUCCUUGUUUCAUUUAAUAGAAAUAUACCAUCUACUGACAACAUCUAUGUAGUAUAUCUUUUCUUUCAGAAAAAGUCAAAAUCAUAACCAUUCAAAAAGUCUUUUUAAUUAAGGAAUCACACACGCAUCACCAUUUUCUGCAUAAAGUCAAAAUGGUGAAGUGAGAUCAAGCCAUUGUUUUAAAAAUAAUUGAGCCAUUCUUCUUCCUCUAAGAUUCAUUUGUGUCCAUUAUAGGUUCCAUCCGANNNNNNNNNNNNNNNNNNNNNNNNNNNNNNNNNNNNNNNCCUUGACCUUGUGCUCCGAGGAUGCAUGCCGCUCAAUCCACCUUGGCCAUUCUCGCUCUAGAAUCAAUCCUCAAGACCUUUGUCUCAAUCCCCAGCAAUAGUGGUUAAUAGCGGUCCAAUACAAGUGCCCCCCUUGCCCCCCCCAACCCUCAUCGCUUCUUCCACGGUUAACUACUCUGGGUUCUAGAUUCUCUUGCUUGGCAGCUCCUUCUCACUCACAAUUUUAGUUAUGUAAAUCUUCUUUUUUUUUGAGGUAGUUGCUUCAUCAAUUUGUCAUCAGAUUUUGUUUGAAACAGCAUGGAUGAGUUCUUAAAUUAAUUCAUUUUAUUUUCUUGUUUCAGGAAUCAUGAUCAAUACUCUAUAGUUUGUACAUUGCUCUCUUUUGGAUUUGUAGGAAUAUUUUACAAUAUUCUUAUUUCACUCUUGUGCAUCAUUUAUAUUUCUAAUUAUUUAACUAGUGGUCAUAAUAUGCAUAUGUUUAUUUGUACCUAUAAAAUAAAAGUUUAGAUAUUUUUUCUAUACACUUAUAAAUUUAAUUUAUUUGUUUUUAUGAUUAAUAAUAAUUAAUACAUUUAUUAUAUGAUGCUGACAAUGCAGUUGUUUUGGAUUGGACCAAUGGUUGAACUCCGUGACCCAUAAGGCCAUAACCUUGUGCUUUUCCCAGUUCAAUCAAUGAGAUAGGUUUCGAAACAUUGUACGAACUACAAACAAUUCCAUGAUGAUCAGUGAUAAGACACUAAAGUCAUGCUAGAUAAGAAGGUAGAACUUUCAUCAUGUAUUUACACUUAAUUAAUAUAGAGAUGAUCAUGCACUCAAACUCAUUCAACUAAGGAUUGUUGCAUUGUAAUAUUACAGGAGGCUCAUAUCCAGUACUGAGCAUUUGCUGCAGUCAAGCAAUUUAAAAUACCUUUCUGUAUGUCUGUCUGUGUGUGUUUCUGCAUGCACAUACAUAGGAGUAUAUUAUAUACAGUUGUGCAUGCAUAUCUAAGUGGACGAUCUGAAUAAUAUUUGACAUAUAACAAGCAGCUAACACCACCAAUGUACUUACCCCUUCAAGACCAUUCCAAGGAUGUUUCCCUGUAUACAUCUCAAUAACUGUGCAACCCAAACUCCAUAUGUCAACAGCAAGAUCAUAACCAAUAUCUUUGUUCAUUGUAGCCUGCAACACCUGCAAAAGAAGAAAGGGCAAGUGAGUAUUCUAGAAAGAUAAAGGCAAUGUUUUAACAAAGGGAGGGGCCAGCACCUUAAACUUGAUAUGUUGAAGAGGAAAAAAAAAGAUGAGUACAAGGCUUUAAGCACAGAACACCAGAGUCUAGACAAGAGAAAGCAAUAAAGAAACAAGCAAAAAAAAGAAAGAAAAUUGCAGAAUAUACAAAUUACCCAAAAAACUAUUUUGGGCUUUGAUUUAUUGAAUUCUGAAUCCAAACUCUACAAGAGGUUAAGUGGAUGUCACUAUUGGCUUAUGCAAAAAAACCUUCCAUGCAACCUUCAUCCAUGGUAAUUAAGAUUUUCCCUCCUCUUUCUCAACCACUAUGCAAAAACCCAAGCCUCUCUUCUAAUUUACACAUGCCUGUAACCAAUACAGUUCUUUCACUGCCUCGUCUUGAGUAUAUCUGAACUAACAAAUUACUCCAAACUAGGUAUGGGUGCAAAGGCCCUUUCCAUGAAAAUAUUUUUCAGAUUAUAUCUUGUUAUAUGUUCUAGCGUAGGAUAUGCCUAAUAUGAUAGGGAAGCUUAAUUAGUCAUAAAAAUUUGGAGUACAAUCCUUCAUGCCAAAUAGCUUUUGUAAAUAAUAAAAAAAGAAAGCAUGCGUUAGCAUCAACAAAAUGCAUUACAAUUGACAAUAAACUAAAUCAGUUAAAGAUCUUCAAAAAAUAACACUGUCAUGGCCGGUCCCAAGCUUGAAUGAGAAAGGUGGAGGGUUGAUGUCAAGUUCCCAGCUAGUCAAAUAUCAAGAAGGAUGAAAAGGACCCAAUUUGGACCUGUAAAGCCUUCCCUAAAUAGUUGGGAAAAAGAUAGAUGGUUAUUUGUAUGGAUAAGGUUCUUCAGAAACAGAAACCUGAUGCUAUUCCUGUCAAGUCAAUCACUAGCAAUAAAAGAUGAUAAUAUACUAGGCAUGAUUAAGAAGCACCUCUGGAGCCAUCCAGUGUGGUGUCCCCUUAAGUGAAAGUACCGCUGCCGCUCCACUCAACUGUUCCAUAAUAAAAGUGAAUUAACAAAGUGCCGGUCAUAAUAGUAUACGUAAACAAACUUUUUAGCGAAAAAUGCAGAAAAUUAAAUGCAUGAUCAAAGUGGGAACAUAUGUUUCUUCAAUUGGGAUAAGUGUAAUUAUAAAAAAUUAAGAUAAAGAAUAAGGAAGGAGCAAAUAGGCACUCCACAGACUACGGUGGUAACACCAGCAUAGCACAGAAAAAACAAAAGCAGCUUCAUACUAUGAUGUGCAAUCGACGUAAACAAACAAAAAUCUUGCAGAUCAAUUUAUUCAGCUCCUAACAGAUGUCCUGUCAUAUGGAAUGAAAAGUCGGAGUGCCCAUGUGCAUUUGUAAUCUUUUUUUUUGGUACAGUGCAUUUGUAAUCUUUACCAACCCUAGCCCGUGAUUGCAUAGGGAUGUUAACAUGUUUAACCAAAGAGGGUUGGCAACCAUUGAAAUUUUGGUUCAAUACGCGUCAAUAUAACUCAAGCCAAACUGAAUCAGUGAGGCAAACUUCUUCAUAGACAUGUAGACUGAAUUUCACAUCAAUCAACUGAUCCAGGCCAUUCUUAUUAAAGAACAGAUCCUUCCAAUUUAGAUACAUGAACUUCCCUUCAAGGUCCACAGUACUAGAACCGACACCCGUGCCUGUAGGCCGGUGGUACGGUACACCACACCCCCAUGCCGUGCCAUUUUGGCGUGAAUCAAUACGGAAACCGGCAAGGGAGGGGGAGAGGGAGGAGUGAGGAAGAGAGAGAGGGAAGGAGGGAGAGGGAGUAAGGGAGGGAGAGUGCGGAGGAGGGAGGAAGGCAGAGGGAGGGGAGAGGGAGAAGGAAAGAAACGAAAAGGGAGAGUGGCGGAGGGAGGAAGGGAGAGGGAGAAGAAGGGAGGGAGAUGCUAGCAGAGCGCAAGAAAGGCGGAGGGAGGGAGGAGAGAGGGCUUCGAUCUCUCCUCCGCGCUGCCAGAAUAGAGGCUUCUACUCCUUUUAUAUAUCUUUUUUGAAUUUUUUUAGUAAAGUCAGGACUGUACAACCAACCUUGCCUCUCUUAGCAGCAAUAAAAUAUAGUGGACUGCAUAGUUAUCAGAAAAUGUGUCGUGAGUCCUACAUAAUGAUGGAAAAUCAUACAAUUCAGGUAUAGCAAGUAUGGCACGCGGUAUGCAUUAAAAUGCAUUUUUCCACCAUAUCAAGAUUAAAAUUUCAUUUCUAACAUCUUUCUCCAUUCUAAAGUUGACAUAGAAAAGAAUUGUUCUCAUUUUGUUCUCAUUUUGAUUUGGACAUCAUAUGCAUUUCAAUUUCUUCUCAGUUUAUUUUCUUCUGGUGCCUAGAAAUAUUGUAGAAGGUUCCUAUCGGGUUACAUACAUAUAUUUAAACUCGACGAGCAAACCUGUUUGAACUAUCGAAAUGGAAGUCUAUAGGGGUUGGUCCAUCCCAACCCACAAAUCCCCAAACCACGUGCAACCCAUUGACCUAGGCAGUCCAACCAAACAACCCACAAAAGUCAACGCAGUUUCAACCCUUCCAGACCAACUAUUAUAUAGGUGUUGAGAAAAACAUAAAAAGAUGAAAAAUUAGUUUACCACUUUACUCUUCAAGAUGAGGUUGGUCCCAUCCCUAACAAAAAACUUGCCAUCCCAAGUUACUUAAAGGGUAUGUUAGGUAAGAGAUAUCAAUGCAUAUCAUUUUUUAUUUUAUUUUAUUUUUUUACAAAAACAAGUUGUGAGAUUCUAUUGUUCUUAUAGAACAAAAGUUAUGUAAUAAAAUUGUUAUUAUGACUUUUAAUCCAUGUUUAUUCUCAUAUUUAAUUGUUAAAAAAAUAAAUUUUUAUUUAUUUUAUUCAUUUAUGAUGUCACAGGUCAAUGGAUCAACCCACAGUUGACCUGCUAUUGAACCGCUGGCCAGAAGCCAAGACACCAGAAGGCGUCAAUGUUUGAACUAGGUUUCUAAACAUGGUUCCAAAAUGUUUGGGGUUUCCUAUCCACCAAGCAACCUUCAAAACAUCACUCGAGGCCCUUCUCUUUCCUAAAGCUGCAGUAAUGAAGAAUUUGGGACCUUUUCACAAAGGUCAAUACCAGGCAGAGAGCUGGUCAAAAGGUUCUCAAACAAAUAUGGAUCAUAAGUUGAUCUACAAAGUGAAAAAUCCAAAGUAGAGUGAGAUAAGGCUUCUCAUGUUAAGGUUUAAGGCUAAGCCCCCAAGAAAAAAGAGCAUUGAUACCAGGUAGAGAGCUAAUCAAAAGGUCCUCAAACAAAAAUGAAUCAUAUUUUGAACUAGAAAGUAAAAAAAAAACUAAAAUGGAGUGACAUAAGGCUUCUCAUGUUAAGGUUUAAGGUUAAGCUAUCUAGAGAAAAGGUCAGUGAUACAAUUUCAGAAUCAAAUCUGGGGCAUGCAGAUAACUAUAAAUCCAACUUUGCCAAAUAACUUUUGUCCAGGAGACAAGUGAAUGCCCUUUAAAUUGGCCUUGAAUUAUCAGCCCCAAGUUUUUUUGACCAAUAAAAGAAAAGGUAGCACCCAAAUGAAUUUUGACUGAUGGAUAAUUUUCUUACCAAUCCGGAAAAAAAUUCUAAUUAAUAGAAAAGCAUUUUCACAAGAGCAUUUAAGGAACUGUAAAUCAGUAAAUAAACCUUCGCAUAUUUAUAGACAUAAUCAAGAAAUGAAACCAAAUGCAUAAAUUCCAAUGCUGUUAAUUAAUUAUGUUCCAACUAUCAAAGGAUUAAAUAAAUUGAUAACUGCCCAGAAAUUCAUUAUCCUGCAACCAAUAAUUUUUAGGAUAAUGAGAGACACAAGAAUACUAGUUUACAUUUUUCUCACUUUAUCAACAAAUUCAUUUCACCUGUCUUCAGAAUAAAAAUUUCAACAAAUAUUAAAAAAUCUAAAUGCCAACGAAUCAAUGACCCUAAGAAUGAGAGCCAGCAGUGUUUCAAAAAAACAGCCCAUAUGGCCACCUUGGCUGCCACAGGUAGGGACGUCUAGCUGCCUGCCUUAAGCUCUGGAGACAGCUACCUUAUCUGGGCCUUGACCCCAAUCAGUGACUACACACUGAACAGCCCUCGACUACCUGCCCACAUUCCCUGAAAACAAUGUGGUCCUGUACAAAAGUAUCUAUAUGCACAUGCAUGAGUCAAUGAAUUAAACAAGCAUAACCAAAUAACAAUCACCACAAUCUUUUUCUUUUAUGUUUAAAUGAUAGUAAACUCUCGAAUGAACUGGGACUUGUCCCAGUGGUCAUACCCCUUUGCACCACAACUAAAAGUAGAGGUUAAGUUACUCAGAAAAAAGUAGAGGGAAAAAUUUCAGAAUUAAGUAUGAGAUAUUCAUGACAAUAGUUUUGAGAACCAAACUUUAUUUCAAAGAAAGCAAUUGUAUGUAUGUUCAUAUGCAUGGGUAGCUAAAUAAAAAAUGCAUACACAAAAAAUUGCCACUAUGUUUUCCUUCUGACAUGAUUAUGAAUGGUGAUCAACACAUUAUUGUCUAUAAGGUAAUUCAAUGAAAAUGCAACAAGAUGUAUGCCCAAGAAACAUACAUUAGAAAAUAGAGAAAUAGCAAUACCAAUAGCAAGAGAGAGAGGGAUCAUGAUAUACAAGUAUAAUUGUGCCCUUUUAAAAUCCAAUAGUCACACUCACAUGUUUUGCCAUCCCAAAAUCAGCAAGCUUAACAACACCAUUCACAUCUACAAGCAAAUUUGCACCUUUAAUGUCCCUGCAAGAGUCGCACUAAUUUAUGAUACCAAAGUUUACCUCUAAAUUCAAUUAUUUGAAUAAAAACUUCAAUUUUACAAUGCAAGCAUAAUUGUAAAAACGAAAAUUUGUGAUUUCAAUGACUUAGCAUUAUCAUAUCAAGCAAGCAAAAGAAGGGGAUUAACAAAACAAUGUAGAUGAAGAGUACUUGUAAUUCAGAAAGAACAAAUAGGAACAAAGCACCAAAUAUAUUUAAGACUUUUUUUUGCAUGUCAACAUGGAAUAAAUCAAAAUGAGUUAUAAAUAUCCAUAUUCACCAGGGCUAUAUUUUCAAUAUGACAAGAUAAUCACAGAAAGACAAGUUUGUAUUGUAAGAUGCGCAUAUCCAACAAUCAGUGCAAGGUCACUGAUUGAGUUACCAGAAAUGGAGUGUCGUAGAGGCCAUGGAUCUAUUAUUGAUAGUUCCCUUAUCAAUAUAUACAAUUUUUCAUAUUACAUCUGACAAAUUCCAGCGCACAAUCACUCUCAUGAAAACACAUGGAACAAGCCAAAGUUUUAGCUUGAUCUUCAAGUCCAAUAUGAGGUUUUAGAAGUUGCAAGGAAUAAACUCACUGUCCAUGCUCCAGUGGGGGUUCAUAAUUUUGUCAAGGGGCUGAACGUGCCCGCCCGCUCUAAGGGUGCGCCGACCUGCUAGCGCUCCUAACAUAAUCCCUCAAGCCACCACAGCCUGAACCUAAUGGCAAACACCUCAGGCAACCCAGCUUAUAACUCCUCUCUGACAAGCUUUGACCAGCCACCCACCCAUAACCACUCAUUAUAGAUGCUCUCUCCUGCAGGAAUAGCAAACAUCCUUGUUUGGAUUGAACUAGAGCUUAGAAUUACAGGUUUCUGCUUGAUCUGACCCUGAUCAAGACCCAAAUUUCAGACAACAUUUUACAUUGAAAUCGAAUCCAGUUUUAAUUUAGUCAGCACAGACAUGACUCAGUUUAGCUGAAUUUUAGCCAAAACACUAUGCUUAGCAAAAAAUAUGUACUAAAAAGAUAUAACUACAUAUGUUUUCAAUUUAGUCAACCAAGAACUGACCAGGCUUUAACUUGAAUCUGAAGCCCUAAGGUAAGAACUGUCUUGUCUAAAUUUAUAGAACCACACAAUGCCUAGUGUUAACCCAGUUUUAAAGCCCUACAGUGAAGACCUGGAACAUUUGAAUUUGCAUAACUGGAAGUAAUCUGGUUUUAGAUUAAAACAAUAUUUUUCUUCCAGAAUAGUUUUGGACACAACUUCUACAUUGUCAGGAGUCAUUCUUUUAAAAGGUCAAACAAGGUCAGUACGAUGAGAUUUUGCCACUCCUACUCCCCUGCCAUUCCUUUCCCUCUCUUUACAGCAUCGGCCAGGGAUCACAUUAUAUACUUCGGCCUAAUUUGAGCCAGCUUCAAGCCUAAGCCGAAAAAUAACUUGAUCCAAGCUAGUUUGUUAUGACAAAGAUUAGCAAGAUUGAUACAAUCUAAGGAUGAUCUUCAAUUUGAUUCACUAACUCAGAAGAGGAGAUCAGAUAUGGAAAUCUAUUUCACUUGUUCUUCUACACUGAAGAUUUUAGCAUGCUGAUCAAUAAUUCCAGCAACUAUAAACCAUUUAAAACAUAUAAACUUUAUGCAUCCACAGUUAUUUCAAGAAAAUCCUCACUUCUGAUGACUAUUGUUAUUGCAAAAACAAGACUUAUAUCUCUUCAUUGAAGCUGCUCUCUGUACUCAAAUAUCAGCACAUAAAUAGUGGUAAUAUGAUAAGCUAGGAAGAAUAAGAUCACAAUCUAGAGUAUUCUGCCUCGUCCACUUUUCAAAUUCUGCUUCACACCAAUUUUCUGAGGCAAUGCUAUGAUGGAUUUGCUCCACUAGAGGGAGUAUUAGUAUCUCAUUAACAGCAUUAUUUGAUGAAGAAGAUGAAAAGCCCAAAUUUCCAUAUUUAAUUUCCAGAUAUCAACUUCAUGUCAAACAGCGGUGUACUCUAUCAUAAAUUGUACUCCAAACCUACUCCUAGACUUAAUCUAUUUUUAAAAUAAGGCAAUUUCAAUCUUCUUGAACCAAAGACAAUCACAGGCUUCCCAUUCUCAAAAUCACAAACCUCUAAUACUUGUCAAACCUUGUUAUAAUUAAUGCACAGCUAUUUCCAAACAAAACACUAUGAUCAUAACCACAAGCAUCCAACCUUAUCCCAACUAUUUGGGUUUGUCUUUUUGGAUACUUAUUCACCAAGCAUUCCUUUCUAGGGCCAUUUCAAAUUUUAUUUCAAGCUUUCCCUUAUAUUUUCUCACAAAUCACAAUCUUAUCCAUGUUACCUUAGAUCUUCCACUUCUUUCUUUGCAUCCUCCAACACAAAUUAAAGUGACUCUCUUUAUUGGAGCCCCCA
rnacentral:lncRNA from 1 species